GUAGUAGGUAGUAAUGAAUGAGCUAAUUGAGUAUACUGUGUUAUCUGAUCAGUUUAGUAAGCAAAUAAUGAGUUGUUGUUAAUUAGUCUAACCGUUGAAAAUUAUAAAGUAGGAAAGUUAUACUAAUCAACAAAACGGCUCUCUUUCUAAUUUUUGUUUUUUUUUGUCAAAGUUAUACUAAUUCGUUUCUUUCCAUGUUUGUGGGUAUUUUGAUUCAGAUAAAAUGCUGUCCAGGUCCAAUGUUUUGAGCGACCAAGUUGUCUAGUUUUGUUUUGUUUUUUUUCUAAUAUCAAAUGCAAAAAUCCGACCGUAUUGUUAGCUUACCAUUUUAUUUAUCACUUUCCUCGAAUUUUCAGUUUUCGUCUAACAGACGGAUAUAUGCAAGCCAAAGUAUUUGGUUGAGACCGCUUUGUUAUAAUAAUGUU
rnacentral:lncRNA from 1 species